rnacentral:lncRNA from 1 species
GUUGUGGACACCUUCUUUGGGAACAAGUUCCAGCGCAGGAAGAAGGCGUCACAACAGGAAGUAGUUGAGAUUUAGUUUAGAGAUAGAAUUGGAAAUUAGUUUGGUUUUGUUUUAGAGAUAGAGUUGGAGUCGGUUUGGAUCUGUUUUGGCCAGCUCAUUAUAUAAGGGCUAAGGCCUUCGUAGGGAGAAGGCAAGCAGAGAUUAAUCUUAAACUCAGAGCCUCCUAGGGAGGGCGAGUAGAUUUAUCUAGCUGCUAACAAAGUUUAUACUCAAUAAACUAGCCACAUCAUCUUUGGUAUUCAGACCUCUUUCCUCUUCCUGGAGCCUGAUCACCACGCCAGGCCUGCCGCCGCCCCAUCUGCUGCCUUCCAGCGCUGUGUCUGCAACCAUGGGCGACUCCUUUGUCACCCAAGCCGCCUUCGAAGAUGCUGUCGCCAAGAUGAUCUCCAAGAUGAACGACAUCAGUCUUAAGCUUGACAGAGAGCUGGAAUCUGUCCGCAAGGAACAGAGCCGCCUUGCUUCCUCAAUCAACAAUGUGCAGACCCAAGUCUUGGAGAAGAACGGGCGUUUUGACGCCACGGGAUCCUCGUCUGUAAGCCAUGCCAAGUAUGGACCACCGCCGUCGCCGGUUCACAAGCUUCGCUUUCCCAAGUAUGACGGUGCCGAGGAUCCCCUAGGGUGGCUGCACAAGUGUGAGCAGUUCUUCCGCUCUCAGGCCACACCGGAGGAUCAGAAGGUUUGGACAGCAACCUUCUAUCUGGAGGGCGCCGCCGGCCAAUGGUACUAUCGUCUGGAGAAGAAUCGCGGCGUCCCCACUUGGCCUGAUUUCGUCGACGGCGUCAACAAGCGGUUUGGACCGCCCGUGCGCAGCAACCCCCUUGGCGAGCUGACCCAACUGCGGCGCACGGGAUCUGUUGAGGAGUACCAGGAGCAAUUCCUCAUGCUCCUGGCACGGUGCGAGGGAGUCACGGAACAACAGCAGAUCGAUAUCUUCACAGCCGGCCUUCUCCAACCCAUGCGCAUGGACGUUGAGAUGCACAAACCCGCGUCGUUCGAGGACGCCAUGGCGCUGGCCCGCGCAUACGAGCGCCGCACACAGGUGGUGGACGACAGCUCCCGCUCUUUGCCGCGUUCAACGCGCUCGUCCUCCCGCACAGGCUCGUUCUCCGCUGCUCCAGCCUGGUCGCCCUCAACCCCUCCUGCCUCCAGUGCAUCAUCUGCCACGCCGGGCGCGCCUGUCAAGCCCGCGGCCCCACCUGGCGCUAGAUUCACACGCCUCACGCCGGAAGAGAUGGCUCAGCGGCGCGUGGAUGGGUUGUGCUUCAAUUGCCCUGAGAAAUUCUCCCGCGAGCACGCCCGCCAAUGCUCCAUGAAAGGCAUCUACUGAAUGGAAUUGAAUGACGACCAAGACACUGCUGACGGCGCGGCUAUCGACGAACCAACUAUUUCAGUCAACGCCAUCACCGGAAUCCAAUCCAGCGCCACCCUGCAGCUUUCCACCAGCAUCAGGGACGCCACCCUCACAGCACUAGUGGAUUCAGGUUCCACGCACUCAUUCAUUGCUGAAGCUACAGCAGCCCAACUUGGGCUGCUUCCAGAAGCGCGGCCUGGCCUCACCGUGGGCGUCGCCAAUGGUGACCGUGUACCAUCUGCGGGGGUCUGCCACAAUGUGCCUGUCCGCAUCGGUCGGGAGGAUUUCUGCAUCUCCAUGUUUGUGAUUCCACUGCAAGGAUUUGAAUUGGUCCUAGGCUGCGACUGGUUGCGGACUCUUGGCCCAAUUCUUUGGGACUUCAGCCAUCUAUCAAUGACCUUCUGGCGCCACGAUCACAGGGUCCAAUGGGUGGGCGUCAACGCCACUCCCCCUCCCCGUCUUGCAGCCACUGAAGCCUCAGACCUCCUGGCACUGCUCAUUCAGGAGUUCGCGGACCUCUUCUUAGCACCAUCAGGUCUGCCCCCGCCACGGGCAUUUGAUCACAGGAUCCACCUGCUACCAGCAACGCCACCUGUGGCAGUCCGCCCCUACCGCUACCCCCAACUGCUAAAAGAUGAAAUUGAAAAUCAGUGCCAAUCCAUGUUAGAGCAGGGGAUCAUCCGGGCCAGUACAUCAGCAUUCUCAUCACCAGUGCUGCUCGUGCGCAAGCGGGAUGGCGACUGGCGUUUCUGCGUUGACUACCGAGCACUCAAUCACAAGACGAUCCGCGAUAAAUUCCCCAUACCCGUCGUGGAGGAACUGCUGGAUGAACUCAAAGGGGCUGUCUUCUUCACCAAAUUGGAUCUCCGCAGUGGCUACCAUCAGGUCCGCAUGCAUCCUGAUGACAUUGAGAAGACAGCGUUCCGCACCCACCAUGGGCAUUUCGAGUUCCUGGUCAUGCCUUUCGGCCUCACCAAUGCACCAUCCACAUUCCAGGCGCUAAUGAAUGCGGUGCUCCGCCCCUUCCUCCGUCGCUGCGUUCUGGUGUUCUUCGAUGAUAUCCUCAUCUUCAGCAAGACAUGGUCAGAACACCUGCAACACGUCCGUGCUGUCUUUGCUGUCCUACGCAGCCACGGUCUCGUCCUCAAGAAGUCCAAGUGCCUGUUCGGAGCACGCAGCGUCCACUACUUGGGCCAUGUCAUUGCCAACAACGCUGUCGCCAUGGACGCCGAGAAGAUUGCUGCAGUUCAAGCAUGGCCCGUUCCUCGCUCAGUUAAGGCUCUCCGGGGAUUUCUGGGUCUCACCGGUUAUUACCGCCGGUUUAUUGCCAACUACGGCAUUAUCGCAGCUCCACUGACGGCGCUGCUGAAGCGGGAGGCAUUCCAGUGGAGCCCAGCAGCAACGACGGCGUUCGAAGCCCUGAAGACCGCCCUGACUACCGGCCCUGUUCUGCAGCUCCCAGAUUUUGACAGACCAUUCGUGGUAGACUGCGACGCAUCCGGUUCUGGUUUUGGCGCCGUCUUGCAUCAGGAUACAGGACCAAUCGCUUUCUUCAGCAAAACAGUGGCGCCACAACACUCCAAACUGGCUGCUUACGAGAGGGAACUCAUUGGUCUGGUUCAGGCAGUGCGCCAUUGGCGGCCUUACCUUUGGGUUCGGGACUUCAUCGUUCGCACAGACCAUUGCAGCCUCAAAUAUUUGUUGGACCAGCGCCUUUCAACAAUCCCGCAGCACACCUGGGUCAGCAAGUUGUUUGGGUACACCUUUCGGGUUGAAUACAAGCCCGGCAAAUUGAAUGCUGCCGCAGAUGCACUGUCCCGCCGCGACGAGCACGAUCUGGAUGGCCACAUCCAUGCCAUCUCUAGGCCGACGUUUGCGCUGUUUGAGGAAUUCAAGAGGGAGGCGGCUACCCUACCAGAAAUUAGAGCCAAACAGCAGGAAAUUGCGGACGGCACAGCAGGAGCAGCCUGGUCCAUAGUCGAUGGCUUUGUGCUCCAUCGGAGCAGAAUUUUUGUCCCUGAGUCCUCGUCUUUUUGGCCACAGAUUCUAGCCUCAGCUCACGGCGCCAGCCAUGAAGGCUGCCAGAAGACUUUGCAUCGUCUCCGCUCUUCUUUCUUCAGCCCGCACGCCUCUAAACUGGUGAAAGACUAUGUCAAAGGGUGCGCCGUUUGCCAACGGAAUAAGACCGAGCAUCUGCAUCCAGCAGGACUGCUACAGCCGCUGGACAUCCCCAAGGCAGUCUGGAGUGACAUUGCCAUGGACUUCGUGGAGGGUUUUCCCAAGGUGGGCGGCCGUUCAGUGGUACUGACAGUGGUGGACCGGCUGUCCAAGAUGGCGCAUUUCAUCGCAUUGAGUCAUCCAUACACGGCAAUGACAGUGGCACAAGCGUUCUUUGAUGGCAUUGUUCGCCUUCACGGAUUUCCCUGCUCCAUAGUUAGCGAUCGCGAUCCAGUGUUCACAAGCACACUAUGGAAGGAGCUCUUCACGCUGGCUGGUGUCAAGCUGCGCCUCAGUUCAGCCUUUCGACCGCAGACAGACGGCCAGUCCGAGGUUACUAACCGGGUGCUGGGGGUGUACCUCCGUUGCUUGGCUGGCGACCGCCCAAGAAGCUGGCUGCGGUGGCUUCCUUGGGCGGAGUAUUGCUACAAUACAUCAUACCAGACAGCCCUGCAGUGCACACCGUUCCGGGUCGUAUUUGGUCGCGAUCCGCCGUCUCUGCUGUCCUAUCAGCCAAGUGUGGCACGAGUAGUGGCUCUGGAUAAGCAACUUCGACAGAGGGAUGAAUUUCUGGCUGAUAUCAGGGACAGACUACUUCAGGCACAAGAUUACAUGAAAGCUGCCCACGACAAGGACCAUCGUGCCCUGGAGUUUGCCGUGGGGGAUUGGGUAUGGUUGCGGCUUCACCAGCGCUCCGCCGUGGCCAUCACUGAAAAAUCCAGUGCCAAAUUGGCUCCACGCUUCUAUGGCCCAUUUCAGGUACUGGAGCGUAUUGGGUCUGUAGCAUAUCGGCUUCGUCUUCCCCCCAAGGCCAGGAUCCAUGACGUGUUCCAUGUGGUCUUCCUGAAGAAACACCAAGGCCCAGUACCUUCAGCCAUUGUCGCUCUGCCUCCGGUGGUUCAUGGCCGUGCCAUCCCAACUCCAGAGAAGGUGGUUCGCGCUCGACCCACGGUGGACUCUUGGGACCUGCUGGUUCAGUGGGCAGGACGCGGCGCUGCUGAGGCCACAUGGGAGCCUAUAACGGACUUCAAAGACAGAUAUCCAGCAUUCAAGCUCGAGGACGAGCUUUUCUGUCAGGAGGGCGGAAGUGUUGUGGACACCUUCUUUGGGAACAAGUUCCAGCGCAGGAAGAAGGCGUCACAACAGGAAGUAGUUGAGAUUUAGUUUAGAGAUAGAAUUGGAAAUUAGUUUGGUUUUGUUUUAGAGAUAGAGUUGGAGUCGGUUUGGAUCUGUUUUGGCCAGCUCAUUAUAUAAGGGCUAAGGCCUUCGUAGGGAGAAGGCAAGCAGAGAUUAAUCUUAAACUCAGAGCCUCCUAGGGAGGGCGAGUAGAUUUAUCUAGCUGCUAACAAAGUUUAUACUCAAUAAACUAGCCACAUCAUAU